CAACACCAUCGAUAAUCACCAGGAACCCACGAACAACUUCAGCUCCAACCUAAUUCCAGUCAGCUUCAACCCACCAAAAUACCCUGUUUCUCCUCUCCCUUAGUCUAAUCAUACUUUUUAUAUGAGUAGCAUGUGGUUUCGUACCAUGGGGGUUCCGAGAAUCUUCUAAAAGAUGUGUAGGUGUCCCUUAAAUGAAUAAAUUCAGCAUAUUUCAGGGUACUCGUAUGUUUUUGUACAUUAUUUGGCUAUUUCUAAUUGGUUGGGGGAGAGAAUCCAUUUUUCCUAAACCUAAUUGGUCCACUCACUUGGCGUUUCUGCUAGAAAAUCCAAGAAUAGGGACAGGGUUAAGGAGGAAAACGGGACUGUGGGAGGGGGAAUUUUGAAUUUUGAAUUUCUCCCCCUUUUUAAAAUCCCUCAAUUACCCUCAAUUGGUCUCUAUAAAGAGCUCACUGAUGAGCUGGGAAAAGGGUUUUUUUUUAUUUGUUAGUAGUCUUAAAAGGUUGGAGAUUCUAGGGGGUUAGGGUUCUUUCGUAGAAAUUUUGGGGGUUUUCCUCUCUUUCUGGGUGGGGAUUGAAGCUCUAAGUGUAUUUUUAUGAAAAUUUUAUCGUCUUUUUUUUUUGGGAAGCUAGUCGAACAAUUGGGAAUAUCCGAGUUGACAAUAUCAAGCUCCCAGCGAUGACAACUUUGCUGAUAGCUCGUCUGUCCUGUUUGCUGCCCUCACAGAGGUAUAUACAUUCUAUUCUCCUCUUAGUUUGACCAUUUUCUUCCUUAUCUCUUUUAUUUGUACCUGCAGUCAUGAUCAUAAUCUUAUCUUACAUAGGAGUAAUUGCUAUAGUCCCCAGCAGGAUCUUGAUUUAUCUGGAAAUUAUUUGUUGUAAAGGCCUCAGAAGCCAUAGAUUUUUUAGUAAAAGUAGCAUCAGGUUUGUUUUAUCAUGUCAGAUAAUCUUUGUCAUAGUGGUAAGAUGUAGGAUUUCUGUUGGUUUUGCCUCGAUACUAAAAUUCAUCGCGUAUUGUUGAUAUUGUUGAUGAAUUUGUAACUCAACUCUAUUGCUUGAGAUGAAUAGUUGGUUCUGUGAUAAAGAUUCAUGUUUUGAUUUUGUUUGUGGGCUUUUGGUGUCUCUUUAAGCUAUUUUCAUAAUAAAGCCUCUUGCUUCGAGUUUGUUGAAUAGUUUUGGGUUAAUGUCAUCUCAUGGUAGCUAGUUUUGGAGUAAAGAUGAGUGCUUUGAGCGAGUUUAAUAGAUUUUGGGUUACUAGUAUUUUGUUAAGGAUGUUUACACCGUAAUGAUUCAAACUUUGGGUCUGCUUAAUGAUUUUUGGCUAACGAUGUGUCGUUAUAGCUGGUUUUGGUGCCAAGGUCUCAAGUUUUAAUCUCUAUUUAAUAGUUUCAGGUUGUUGUGUCCGAUCUAGCUGACUCUAUGUCAAAGUUCUAUGGUAAAAGGCCUAAAUAGGCAUAUAUUAGCACAAAUUGAUUUCUUAUUUGUAAGUCAAAAGAUGUAUGUGCAAACGUAUUAAGUAACGUGAAGUCUUUGCCUGGUAUAACAUGAUGCUUUUCCUGAAUUAAAAUAAGGUGGUUGUAUCGAACUAAGGUCCGGUGGGAAAAUAAAGUUUAUGAUUUGUACGUCUAGAAGCUUGAUUUGAGAGUGUUCUAUGAUGUUAAUUGUAUCCUGUUUAAAUUCAUUUGAGUGGUGAUGGUUUGCUUAGCUUGCAUUAUAAUAAGAACGAGUUGGAGACACUGUAAACUGCUAGGAUUAUUUUAUGGUGCCUGUUCUCAUACGUUGAACCUGCUUUGCUAUUAGUAUUAAACCUAUUCUACUACCCGUUAGUUCGGUUGGAUAUUUUCAGAAGAUUUGAACUAGACUUGCAUUUUAUGGUGCCAUUCCUGAUCUGUCUUGAGCGUGCCCAUCCCUAUCAUAUCCUGCUCUUUUAGUUCUUACUAUCACACCCUCCUCAAAUUAGUUUGUUCUCUAAUGGGCUGAACAUUAUUUAGAAUACGCUAAUUUCGUGUUUGUUGUUGGAUUUCCAUGUAUGCUUCAUAGUGAGAAAUUUCCUUUGUUAGACUAGUUUUUGCAUGCUUUUUACCUGUUUAAAUAUUUAGUGCAAGACAUAUGUUAAUUACUUUCUUGUUUCUCUUUCUUUUUAUUUUGCAUGGGGACACGCUCGAGUCCUUUGUGACACAUUUCCCUUUGCAUAUUCACUAUGGGCCAUUGAGGCCCAUCUAGCUUGAGUUAAUUUUUUUUUGAAGACUUUUCCUAAAGAUAGUCAUAUUGCAUGGAUACAAGGAGACAAAAAAAAUAAGCUGAAGUCCCAUAUCUGAAGCGGCUAAAAAAUUUUAGGAUUCUCAUUUAUUUACUCAUUUAAUUAUCCAUUGUCGUCUCAUGUAUUCAUUUAUUUAUAGUUUUGUUUGUUUAUCUUAUUCAUUUGGGCCUCGAAGUCAAAGUUGUACUUAAUACAGGUGAUGCGAGACUCGAGCUAAAAAGCUCAAAAACAUAGAGUUAGGACAGGUGAAAACGGGUCAAAAACUCAACUAGAUUAGGACAGGAUCGAUGGAUUGGGAUAAAAAACCUAAAUCACUACUUCCCCGCUUUUCCCCUUUUCCUUUCAUUUACUUGUUUAUUUGUCUCUUUGUGAACCUAGUUAAAUCCCUAAGUAAAUCGCUAAAAAACUGAUUUUGCAAAACCUUUCCCUUAACCAAUUAAUUUUCCAACAAACCGAUUUUCAAUAAAGUUAGUCAAAAGACGUUUUCAAAUAGUUUGGAUAACCGCAGUUAGUGGACGUUUUAGGUGCCUAACCCUUUCCUAAAACAUUAAUAGGAAUCGCUUAUCUUCGAUUUUUCUAUUUUAAAUCGUUUGAAGUGACUCUCUAAAGGUUUCUUAAUUCCUUUUCAAAAUUAAGUGGCCACUCUCAAAAGUCAAAGUUUCUCCGCAAAACACUCAUGACGCAACCCCCAGAAACAGAAAUGGACCUCACAUCACGCCUCUCAGAAAUGGGAAUGGAUCUCACGUCAUGAGCUUAUCGUGAGACCUUACUGCCUCACAUAAAAAAUAACAUAAUCUUUUACUCAGGUAUCAGAUUAAUGCAAAAUUGGUAUCGUUGGAAGGAUAAUUCAAUUAUUUAUAAUUUAGUGGGUCUUAAUCUGCCAAAUUCUUUAUAUAUAAAAAGUUUUACUCAUUCAAUGAUGACUCUUGUAGAAUUGAAUGCUAAACUUUGGACAAAUGAAAGGCUCUUAGCUCAACUUCGCUCUAAGUGAUUUAUUUGAGCAUUUUCACCUAAAAAAUACUCCACAUACUAGGAUAACGGUUCAAAGACUAGCUAGGAAAUGCAGGGUGUUAUAGGAUGGGUGUUUCUAAAGGUGUCUCCCGUGAAGAAAGUAAUGUGGUUUGAGAAAAAGGGAAAGAUUAGUACCCGUUAUGUUAGUUCUUAUGUAGUUUUGAGGAGGGUUGGUAAUGUUGCAUAUGAAUUGGAGUUACCUUUUAGUUUAAGCUCCAUUUAUUCGGUAUUCCAUGUCUCUAUGUUGAGAAAAUAUAUGGGUGAUCUUUCAUUGGUUGUUCCUUUGGGAUGAUUGGGUAUCUUAAAUUCUCUGUCUUGUGAAGAGAUCCCAGUUGAUAUCUUGGAUCGGUAGGUUCAUUGGUUGUAUACCAAGGAUAUACCUUCAGUUGAGAUUCUAUGGCAGAACCUUAAGGUGGAAGAAGCUACUUGGAAAGUGGAAGAGAACAUGAAGUCCAAGUAUCCGUAUUUGUUUUCUUCUCUAGAUAUUUGAGGAAGGUAUGUGUUCUUGAUCACAUCUUUGUUUUCUAACUUGGUUAAAGGAAGGUUAAUUUCCAUGCAUCUUUGUUUUCUAACUUAGUUAAAGGUUGGAAUGGUAUAUGUUGGGGUGUAAGUUGGAAUGGUAUAUGUUGGGGUGUAAUUCAUGCUUGUACUACCUUCUCCAUCAUCUAGGGAUAAAUUAUCCUAGUGGGGGAGACUAAAACACCCUGGGUUUAGACCCUUAGAAAAUUUCUCUAUUUUUUGCUUUUGGAUAUCAUAUGACUUGGUGUACUAGUCGUAUGAUGUUGUAUGAUUUGGUGGAUCAUGGUUGUACGGUAACCCGUGAAAGCUGGUUGGCUUAUGUUAAAGGCACGAUUGGAUCAUACUAGUCGUACCUUAGGGUACUAGUGGUAAGAUAUCAAUUGUAUGUUACCUAAGUUAAGUCUAGGUGAUUCUAUUUUGUCAAGGGUACGGUUUUAUGGUAAUAAUCAUAUGUUUGGGUACAGUUUGGAUGGGGAGGUCAUAUUUUGGAUAGUGUUGGGGUCCAAGGGGAGGCCUAAGAUACAAGUUAAAGAUACCACUCGUACCCUAGGGUACGGUUGGGGUGGGAUGGUCGUACCAUCCUGCGGGAAUUAUAGGCAGUUUAGCUUGGGGUAAUAUGGAUAUUUCCCCUCUUAACCUCUUAAGGGCCCAAGACUUAUAUCACUCUUGGGACAUCAUUUAACCUAUUUGUAAUCACUCAAACUCUCUUAAGAUAAUCUCAAAUUCUCUCAAGGCUCUUGGGUCAAGGAAAGCUAGGGUUCAAUUAAUAAGAUCAAUUUGGGGGUUACAAGGGUGAUUUCUCUUUUUCAUCUUCUUAAUUAAAGGCAUGUUACUCCUCCCUCAUUGUUAGUUCCAACUAAAGGAAUAUUUUAUGAAUUGUUUUCAUGGCAUAAAUGUUGUAUGGUUUUGGGUUUUUGAAUAUUGAUAACGCUCAACUUAUACGUCAAUUUAAGUGCAAGGCGGUCGUUGUUAAUAUAUUUACUAACUAGGAGUUGGGGCUGAAUCCACGAGGAACUCCGAAAUAAUAGUUGUUCGCUCGGGUCAAACCUAAGGUACAAAAUAGUUUGGGGGGAGAGUUCAAUUUUGUUAAAUGUAAAGGCAAUUCUUGGGCCUCUAAGGGACUAAUUCGAGACUAAGAAUAUUUAGAGUAUAAUCAAUUAAAUUGGAUCUUGGGACUAUGCUUUCCUAAGGGUAAGUUAUGUAUGGGAACAUGAUAAUUUGAUACAAAUUCUAAUCGUUGAUGAUGUGGUAGGCUAGGUCUAAAGUCCUUGAGGUUAGUUCUUUAAGAAAACCUCAAAGAUGUCACUCAUUGACUCUUUUGAGUAUCUAACGAGUGUGUCAAUUAAAGCUACCCAAUACCUCAAUUAGGUACCUCUAUUUCAAGGUAUAGUCAACCUCAUAUUCACCCUUAUGUCUAAGAUGGUGAAAAAUAUCAAACUAAGCCCAAUAAUUUUCUAUUUGAUGCAAGUAUCAAGCCCUCAAGGCCAGUCACCCGAAGCCAAGCUAAGGAUUUACAACAUCUUUAAGCCUUGUUCAUGCAAAUAGGAGCUUAUGAGAGCAUGAUGCCUUCAACCAAGGGAGUAUACUUGCUUAACUAUGAAGAAGAGGAACCUUUAAAGCCUUUUAUUUCCUAUAUUACAUGGGCGCCUCAACUAAGGGCAUGGAGAUCUUUUUGAACUCUCUUUUUACACUCCAAAGGAGCACACUUUAUUAAGGGUAUUUUAGUCAUUAUCUUGUAAUAGUAUAAAUAGAUAUUUUAGCUCUUAUUUUCAUUAGUUUUUAAUGAAUUGUCGAGUGAUACUCUCAUAUUUUAGUUGUAACUCUUGGUAAAGACAUUGAAACUAGGGUUAACCUUGUGUUGAUAUUUUGGCAAGAAAGGUGAGUGCUUGAGGACAUUGAUCCCUUUGUGUUCACCUAAGAGUAUGGUAUUAUCCAUCAUUGGUGUUGUGUGUAUUGGUUUUUUAUACACACCUUGGUGCUAUUCAUUAGUGUUGGUGUAUGUCUCAUUACUAUCUUUUCACCUUAAUGCAAUUUCUCUUCCUUUUGUGUUAAAUUUGAUUGUUGCUUAUGUGUUCUACUUCAUCUCCUUUCCUGUAGUUGCUAGUUUUUGUUUCUUUUAGGCUUUAAUUUUUUUUUAGUAGCUUAGUCUCUCAUCAUUUGGUAUCAAGAUCCAUGUAUUAGAGUUGUUCUCACAACUCUAAGUCUUGGGUCUAAAAAAUUCUCCACAAAAAAGAGUCUAGAGUCAAGAAAAAUCACAAAAAAGUAGUAUCUUAUGUUGAAGUUGUAGAUCCGAACCUUAUAAGCUAGAUAUACACGUUUUUAUUUUUUAUUUUGUUGGUUUCUAGUGCUAGAUCCUUGUUCCCUAGCACCUAAAGAGUCUAGAUCUAAGUUUGAAACAAGAUUUGGUUGUUUUUUAGCUAGAUCCACCAUUGUUGUGGCAUUUUUGAAGCUUUUGUGAAGGUGGUAAUGUGUGGUUUUGUGUUAUCUUGGGCGUUUGUGGCUGAUUUGUUGCUAUUUGUGCUUGGCUUGGGAAAAGGAACCUAGAUCUAAAGGAAAAAUUGAAUUUAGGGUUCAUUUGCCUAGUGGUCAAACCUUGGUCAACUCUUGAAUAUUCAUUUUGUUCAUCCAUCAUCUUUAAAUCUUGUUGAAGAAGAAUAUUCAAGUAGCUUAUUUGAUCCAAAAGGAGGGAAUAAAGAGAGUGUACUAAGUGUUUGUACAAGAAUAUUCCCUAGCAUAUUCUAAGUCAUCCUAAAGGAAGAGGGGACAAGGGGAUAAGCAAGUACAAUUGAAAGUACACUUGAGGGGACCAAUCCAUUUCAAAUUCAAUUUGAAGCUCAAAAAGGCUCCAAACUUGCAUAUUUCCCCCUCAAAACCAAAAUUCUUCUUCUCCUUAAGUGUUGUUUGGCCGAGACAAAAAUUGGUGAAUUGAAAAUUUUGAAAAAGUGACGUUCAACCAAAUUAUGCCAUGUCAUCACUUUAAUGAACAACCAAAUUGAGUUCUUACCAAGAUUUCUAAGUUUCUAUUUGUUGUUUAUAGUUUCUUUUGUGUUGAUUCUACCACUAAUUAGCAAACUAGUAACUACCUACUAGGUUGAUAAUUAGUUUAGAGUUCUUUUGUUUAGUGUCAUCGUUGUUUGUGCUUUUCUCAUUUGUAAUUCAUUGUAACUUGUUGGUUCAAGUCCAUAAGAAAUUUUCUUUGAGUCAUAUCAAAUUAAAUUCCAUUCCAAGCCAAAGUAGAAUCAUCCCUCACUCACUUUCCAAGUACAUACCAAGGUAUCAACACUUGAGAAAUUAAGUGUGAGGUAAGAGUUGAGUGUGAGACUGGUGAGGAUUAUUUGAACUAACUUGUUUACUCGUUUUGUGAGUUCUUUUCUUUACUUAUUAUUCUAGGUACUAGUCUAUGGAACCCACGGGUUCUAUUUCUUAAGUUGUGGAUAACAAUGUCAUGGAAGGGUUCAAGGCUACUCUUGAGGCUCUCAAUCGAACCAUUGUAAAAUUUGGAUCAGAUUUGGGAUAAGUGAAGGAAGAUAUGGCUUCAAUUAAAGGGAAAGUGUCCACACUUAGUAGUAGACUUGAUCAAGUUGAGAGCCAAAGGAGCUCCCAACCUUCUACUCCUCACCCCUACCAUAUGUCUUCUUGUGUCCAAUCUCACAACUCCUCUAUGACCAUUACCUCUGAAACCUUACAUUAAAUGCUAUAUCCCACAAAACCUCCAUAAAAUACCACCCAAACCUCAACUCACUCCCAAACCCAAGACUCCAUUAGACCUUUGCAUCCUUAUUUCACCGAAGUCCAACAAGAGGGACUUAGGAACCAAAUACCAUUCCAAAAGCCAAAUACCCUACCACAAAAGCAAGUUCCAAAUCCAUUUGAACAAAGAUCUCCUCCUCCAUAAGAACCAAUCCCUCAAGCUCAAGUACCAAAUAACCAAAGACCUCAUCUUCCUUUCCAAAUGUAACAAAACCAAAACCAACUACUACAAUCUCUAAAAAACUGAAACCAACCAAUCCAUGUUGAAGACUAUGGCAGAGGGGAGCAACAAGGUUAUGAUGUUCCUAAUGAUGACUAUUGGUUUGAGGAAGAAAUGAGGGAAAUGCAUGAUAAAAAAGGGCAUUAUGGAAGAAACCGAGGGUAAGAAGGAAGACAAGGAAACCGUGAGGUGGGCAUCAAUUCAAUCAAGUUUGGUAUUCCAAUCUUUAAAAGUGAGAGUGAUCCAGAAAUGUAUCUUUCUUUGGAAUCUUCUUGUUAAAAACUUUUUCAAGUGAAUGAUCUUUUUGAAGAGAAGAGAAAUUGUUGUGCUAUUUCUUACUUUGAAGGAUAUGCAAACACUUGGUGGGAUUAUACAAACAGGUUUGGUAAUGUAUUGACUGGUGGCCAAUCACCUCCUUGGGAGAUGUUGAAGAGACUAAUGAGAGAAAGAUAUGUACUAGAGAAUUAUAGGCAUGAGAUCCUUGCCAAGAUUUACAACUUAAGGCAAGGAAGAAAGAGUGACAUGGCAUAUUAUGCUGAAUUCCAACAACUCAUUUUGAAGCUUGAUCAUAGGGGUGAACAAGUGCAUAAUGUUGUCAUUCGUUUCAAAGUUGGAUUGAAUAAAGCCAUCCCGUUUGACUCUUCACAAGUUUAAAACCAUUGAUGGUAUCUUCAAAACAGCUAUGGAUAUUGAAAAAGAGAAUAAAGAGAAGUCGGCCUGCAAGCUCAAAAGUCACCAAGCCUCGGGUUUGCCAAGAAGUAAAGAGGUAACUCACUUGUCUUCGGGUUGGAACAAAAACAAAGCUCCUUCAUCUUAUUCUUCUCAACCCAUAACCAAGCAUUUUCAACACUAACCUCCAAGGUUGAAAGGUAAGCCGAAUCCUCUCCCUCUCUCUUCUAAAGGUUUUCAAUGUUUCAAGUGCCAAGGUUGGGGACAUAGAGCAAGUGAAUGCUCUAACUGAAGGAAUGUGAUUCUAAGAGAGGGGAAGUUGCACUACCUAGGAGAGAAAGUGUUGAUGGAACCCAAAAAUGAUGAUGAGGUUGAACCUCAAUAUGGAGAAAAACUAGUAGAUAAUUUGUGAAUGAAGAAUGUGAAGAAGAAGAAACUUGGCCACAAGAUGGUGAAUAUCAAAUUCCUAAUUAUAUGGUAAGAAGAGUUAUGGUGAGAAAGUCAAUUGAAGAGCCGAGCCAAAGAGAAAACUUUUUUCAUACCAAAUGUCUCAUCAAAGGUGGAGUAUGUACUAUGGUGAUUGAUAUUGGAAGUUGUACCAAUGUAGCAACUGCUACCGUGGUAGACUUCUUGAAACUUUCUACUACUCCACAUGAACAUCCCUACAAGCUACAAUGGUUGAAUAAAUAUGGGAAAUUAAAGAUGACUAGACAAUGCUUUAUUUGGUUUCAAGUGGGGAAUUCCAAGAUGAAGUAUUAUGUGAUGUGAUCCUGAUGCAAGUAUGUCAUUUAAUAUUGGGUAGACCUUGGUAAUUUGACAAGUCUACCAAACAUGAUGGAAGGACUAACAAGUAUUCACUUGAGCAUGGUGGUCAAAAAUUCACUCUUCUUACACUUUAACCAUCUCAAGUGAGUGAAUUGCAUCAAACAUUGAGAGAAUGAAAAGAAAGGGGAAAAAGGAGGUUGAACACGAGGGUAACACAAGUGAGGCAACCGCGGUUUCUCCUAAAACAAAAGGUAAAGGGUCUAUGGUAAUGUUGGAUAGGAGGAAGGACUUGUUAAAGGAAAAAGACCUUGACAUUCUUAUGCUUCUACUAGUUCAUGUUCUUAACGCUAACCCUUCUGCUUCUUCUUCUAUUCUCUUGUUUUGCCGUAAGGGUUACCCUUAAUUCGAGGCAUUGAGCAUCAAAUUGACUUUGUGUUAGGUUCAUAAUUACCUAAUAAAGCAGCAUAUAUAAGUAAUCCAAUGGACACUAAAGAACUUCAAAGUCAAGUGGAGGAUCUUCUUAGAAAAGGAUACAUCAAAGAAAGCAUGAGUUCGUAUGUGGUACCGAUCUUGUUAGUGCCACAAAAAAAGGGACUUGGAGAAUGUGUAUGGACUGCCGGGCCAUCAAUAAGAUCAUGGUGAAGUAUCAUCAUCCUAUCCCUAGGUAAGAUGAUAUUCUUGAUAAUAAAUGGAUUUUGUGUGUUUUCUAAAGUUAAUCUUAGGAGUGUCUAUCACCAAAUUUGAAUGCAACCCGGUGAUGAAUGGAAGACCAUAUUCAAGACCAAGUAUGGUCUAUAUGAAUCGUUGGUCAUGCCAUUUGGCCUUAUAAAUGCUCCUAGUACUUUCAUGAGCCUAAUUAAUCAUGUGAUAAAGCCUUUCAUUGGAAAGUUUGUGGUUGUGUACUUUGAUGAUGUCUUAGUUUAUAGCAAAUCUCUUGAAGAACAAGUGGUGCAUUUACAAUGUGUGUUUGAUGUCCUCUAAAAGGAGAGGUAAUAUGAUAAUAUGGAGAAAUGUUAUUUUGGUGUUAAAAAGGUGGUAUUCUUGGUAUUUGUUGUUAUCUCAAGGGAUGUAGAAGUGGACGAGUCCAAGAUAGACUCUAUAUGAAGUUGGCCGACCUCAAAACCUAUUGGAAAAAUUUGAAGUUUCCAUGGUUUGGAAAGCUUUUAUAGGAGGUUUGUCAAGGUAUUUAGUACCAUAGAAGCCCCCUUAACCGAAAUUAUGAGAAACUAAUAACCUUUUAAGUGGGGUGAUGAUCAAGCUAAGGCUUUUGAGACCUUAAAAGCUUUGCUCAUCUUGGCUCCUUUAUCGUAAUUGCCUGUUUUUGACAAAAUAUUUGAAGUAGAAUGUGAUGCUAUAAAAGUGGGUAUUGGGUAUAUUUUGAUGAAAGAACAAAUACCCAUAGCUUACUUUAGUGAAAAGCUCAAAGGAGCAACUCUAAACUAUUCCACUUAUGAUUUAGAGUUGUAUGCCUUGGGCAAUUGGCAACAUUACUUGUGGCCUAAGGAGUUUGUGAUAUGAAAGGAUCAUGAAUUUUUGAAACACCUUAAGGCCUAAGACAAUUUGAAUAAGCACCAUUAUAAGUGGAUUGAAUUCCUAGAGACUUUCCCUUAUUUAAUCCAAAACAAAAAGGGGAAGGAAAAUGUAGUUGCCGAUGCAUUAUCUAGGAAGCAUGUGAUUGUUUCUAGUUUGUCUUCCAGGUUUAUGGGAUUUGAGAGCUUGUUUAUAUUUUAUCCUGAGGAUCCUAGCUUUGCUCCUAUUUAUAGGGAAUGUGAAGAGUGGGGAAGGAAAAUAUGGCUCAAGAAAAAUGGUCACUCCUCCUACACUCGGUUUGAUGGAUACUUGUUCAAGGGAAGGAGAUUGUGUGUUACUUCUAGUUCAUGGAGAGUUUUUUGUUAUAAAGGCACAUGAUGGUAGCCUCAUGGGACAUUUUGGGGUUGAAAAGACCCUCGGUAUCUUAGAGAAGCAAUUUUAUUGGCCAAAAUGCAUAAAGAUGUUACUAAGGCUUAUGGCUAACGUAUGGAUUAUCGGAGUACAAAAUCUUGCCUCCUUCCUCAAGGGUUGUAUACCCCGCUUCCCAUCCCCUUAUACCUUGGCUUGACAUUUCCAUGGACUUUAUUUUAUGGUUUCCAAGGAUAAGGAGAGGUAGGGAUAGCAUCUUUGUAGCUAUUAAUAGGUUCUCAAAAAUAGCCCAUUUUAUCCCUUGUUCUAAAUACGAGGAUGCCCCUAGUGUAGCUUCUUUAUUUGUAGAACAUGUUGUCAAGCUACAUGGGAUUCCAAGAACGAUUUUGAGUGAUGGGGACUCAAUGUUCCUAAUUCUUUUUUGGAAGUCAAUGUGGGGUAGGCUUGGUACGAAGUUGCUAUUCUCAACCUCUUUCCACCCAUAAACUGAUGGUUAAAUGGAAGUAGUGAAUAGGACCUUAGGUUCUAUGCUACAUUCCAUGGUUAAAGGUAAAAUGGCUUCAUGGGAAGAUCAUCUACGGUUAUUCACUCAAGCACGAGUGUAACUCCCUUUGAGUAUGUUUAUGGUAUGAUUCCCCUUACCUCCUUUGAUCUCACUCCUUUGUCUAGUGAUCUUAUGAUAAGUAUAGAUGGAAAAAAUUUAUCCAAAUCUAUGAAAAGGAUGCAUGAGAAGGUGAGAAUCCGACUUGAAAAUAGGAAUCAAGAAGUUGCAAAAAAAGCAAACAAAGAGAGAAGAAGACUUGUGCUUAAACCCGAAGAUUGGGUAUGAGUUCACCUAAGGAAGGAGCAGUUUCCGAAUCAAAAGAAGGCUAAUAUUAUUCCAUGGGGAUAUGAACCAUUUCAAGUACUUGAAAUAAUCAAUGACAAUGCAUACAAGGUUGAUCUAUCACCGGAUUACCAAGUACAUUCCACUUUCAAUGUUUAUGAUCUUUCACCCAUGGAAACUCUUGAUAUUGAGGAAUCCGUGAGUAUGAGUUCAAACUCUCUUUAAUAUGAAUAGUAUGAUAAAAUUAUCUCUCCCUUAAGGCCUUUCACCCGAAGCCAAGUUAAGGAGUUACAAUAUUUUCAAGCCUUGUUCAUGCAAAUGUGAGCCUAUGAGAGCAUGGUGCCUUCAAACAAGGGAGUAUACUUGCUUAAAUGAGAAGAUGAGGAGCCUUUAAAGACUUUUAUUUCCUACAUUACAUGGGCGCCUCAACUAAGGGCAUGGAGAUAUUUUUUUAUCUUUCUUUUUACGCUCCAAAGGAGCACCCUUCAUUAAGGGUAUUUUAGUCAAUAUCUUGUAAUCAUAUAAAUUGACAUUUUAGCUCUUAUUUUCAUUAGUUUUUGAUGAAUUGUUGAGCGAUACUACCAUAUUGUAGUUGUAGGUCUUGUAAAAGACAUUGAAACUAGGGUUAACCUUGUGUUGACAUUUUGGCAAGAAAGGUGAGUGCUUGAGGACAUUGAUCCCUUUCUGUGAACCUAAGAGUGGCGUGUUAUCCAUCAUUAGUGUUGUAUGUCUUGGUUUUUGAUACAUACCUUAGUGCUAUUCAUUAGUGUUGGUGUAUGUCUCAUUACUAUCUUUUCAUCUUAAUGCAAUUUCUCUUCCUUUUGUGUUAAAUCCAAUUGUUGCUUGUGUGUUCUACUUUAUCUCAUUUCUUGUAGUUGCUGGUUUUUGUCACUUUUAGGCUUUAAUUUCAUUUUAGUAGCUUAGUCUAUUAUCACUACUAUUGUAUUAGUUCCCACAUCCCUCUUUCAAGGAUGAUGAGGCUUCCUAAAGUUCACCAAAACCCCUCUUUAAAGGAUGGUUUAGGCUUUCAAGAACUUUGGGUUUUCACUCAGAAACCCAUUUUGGGUAUUUAGAACUUUAACCCAUAAAUCCCAAUCAAUUUACUCAAGCAAUAGUAGAACCCAACACCAACACAUUAGCAUAUACACAAAUGAAUCACAUCGCACACAUAAAUGCACCCUAUUCUAACAUAAUACCAAGAGGAAGAACUAGCUACUCUUAAUAAGAAGAAGAAUAUAAACCAAAAUAUCCAUUAAAUUAAUUCAUUAAAAAUAAAGAUAAUGUAAACUAUACUUUAAGUUUCAAUGAAUCCUCAAUGGGAUUUGUCAAUUCUCCACUUAAAAGUCACUCUAAUGUUUUCCUAGUUUAAGAUUAUUACAAAUUUAGCUCCAAGCUCCAAGAAAUUACAAGAACCCUAAACUAAGGAUGCGAGCUAGGGUUGUAGAGUGAUGAUUCUUAGAUAUGAAUGGUUUUUAAGCCUUAAAUAGGAUGUUGGGGUCGGUGUGCCCAAAUAACAUGGUUACCCUUGGUCAUAAUCCCGCUAGUCUAUGAUCACGUAGCUUUUGUGUGAUCAUGUUAACUGCGAAAGAUUUAAGACCACGAUCGCGGUUGUGGACCAUCUUGACUGGCUGUAAUCAUAGCCCUCAGGCUGCAAUCGUAGCCCUUAGGCUGCGACCGUGGUAACUGAGGCAUGUUUCUGCUCCAGGUCUACUAGCUACACUUCUUCUCUGCAUUCUUUAGAUAUUAUUCAAGAAGUAGUGUAGUAAUGUAUGUUCAUGGUAGGGAAGGAUAUUAUUUAGGAACAACAUGGAUAAACCGUCCUUUAUCAUCUAUAUCACACUAUUUCAUCCAACUUUUGAUCAUGGGCCACUUCUUUUGUUUUCACUCUUUGAAAUAUAUGCCUACUUUUACUACCUUGAUUCACCCAUCUUUUGGAAAGCAUAUUCUUUUCAUCUUUUUUCCUUGUGCAUUUCAUGAUUUACUUUCUUUUCUUGGGUCCGUUCUUUUUCCUAUUUAUUUGUUCUUAGAAUUUAGCUCUUAGGCACUAACUUAAAUUCUUGUGGCCCGAAGUUACCUCUUCCAAUCUUAACCACCCCCAACUUAAGUUUUUAGCCUUAAUUUGCAUUUUUAAGUCCAAGGAAGAUAGGGUUCGAAAGAUGGAUAAUCAUUGAAAGGAUCACGACAUGUAAUGUGUUUCUAAAAGAAAGGUCUAACGGCUCAAAAUGGGUUACUAGGGGUAACAUCUAUGUAUGGUAGGCUUUUUAGGCUAAAGUGGACUUCUAAUGUUGAAAAGAUGGCCUAAGAACAUAACCCCAACCAAGUACAAUCAAAAUUAUCCUUGAGAGACUAAUGGGGAAAUUUCCAGAUGGUACAAGUACGAAUGAGAUUUAGACAAAUAAGCUCACCACACAUGUCUUGCAAAUUCACCAAGGAGGAUCAAUUGCCCCUCCCGCUAGAGAUCAAAAUGGAGUAUCUGCCAAUUUUCACAAGUCAAAAAUUUGGAGUCACAAAAAGAGAAAAAGAAUUGUUACAAUGUCUCUUAUGUCCAUUUCCUUGAUUUGAUUUUUUUUUUGAAAAUUUUUGGAUGGAGGGGGGUGUUUUCUUUGCAUUUUCACCAUGCACAAUUUGCUAACCAUGGCAACAACCCAAGCCUUGAUCUAACAUUUUGGAUUCAUAUGGGCAAAUAAACCAUAUGGAUACUCAGACUUCGCCAAUGGUAUGAGUGUAAUCCUAAAUCCCUAAUGCCACGAGUACUUAGAAUUCCCUUGUUUUUAUAGCCUCGGUGCUACAAGUACUCAGACUUUUCCUGAAUCUGUGGCUCAAAACCCAAUCACGACGAGUUUUCUUUAAGAAUGUUAUCAUUUGCAUUUAUCAUAGGGAAAGUCUCACCCAACAUCAUUAUUAAAAGAAAUACACAACUAAUAAUGAAAAAAAUCAAUUCACAAAUUUUUUCAUGCUUCAUAUGUACCAAUUCCAAGUAUUGCAAGCCAACAUGCACUCACACAAGGAUAGGGCCACACACACCCCCAACAAAAAGACUUGUAGUGACCUCACUACAUAAUACAAAAGCAUAAGAAAGGUCAAAGGGCUCCCUAAAAUCACAUUGAUAACCAUGUUGAAAGCUAUCAUAGUGGUGCAAUUGCGGUAUGGUUGGUACGAUCGUGGUUCCGUCAUCGCAGCCCUCAGUUUGCGAUUGUGGUAACUAAGUCCAUUUUCUCCUCUAUUUUGUCCUAUUUUUUCUAUUUUGGCUACACUUCUAAUCUUGAUUUAUCCCUAUUUAAGCUUCCAAUUUGUGCAAAGCCUACAAAGCAUCAAAAUUAUGUGACUUAUUCAAAAAUAAAUAAUGUAAACAUAAAAAUGAGGGGUUGCCUCCCACCAAGAACAUGGUUCAACAUCACGGUACGAAGCCUCAUUGAUCAUCAUUUAUUUUUUUCCACUUAGAGGAUUUGAAUCGGCGCCCCAACUUUCGAUCGAUACAUCUUCAUAGCACGUGGGGGAAAAGCGAAGGAGCAAUAACACGACUUAUAUCAUGCCACUUUGAAGACUUAAGUCUUUUACCCAACAUGGCAUCAAAAUUUUGACUGCUCUCAUUGGGUAUCAGCGAGAGCAUCAAAGAUCCAUUUGUUACACAUUGAAUCUUUCAUUUGUUGACCUUCAAGUGGUGGGCUUCCUUUUUCCCUUUAGGAAUGACAAACUCCAAAAUGUAGGGAUACAUCUCCUCAUCUCCAAACUUUAUCAUUUGCUUGGAUGGUUCGACUUUCAUCACAUCCACCAAGCAUAAUAUUAAAAAAUGGUUUGAGUGAGGUUUUUUUCCUAAUUUUGGAGUCACAUCUUUCUUGACAUUCUCACUCUGAAAUGGACUAGAUCCUUCACAAAGGAUAUGCAUACUUUUUUUUUACUCUAGUACUGUUUUCUUAAUUUCAGAAUCUUCAACCAUAUUAGAUUCGGUUGGUUGAGAAAUCAUCAAGGAUUGUUUCAUGUCAAGCUCAUUUAGAAGAGCGGGUAUACUCUUAGCAUUUGAAAGAUUAGCUUUAUUACCCAUCUCUUCCAUCCUUUUUAUUUUCUUAUUACAUGCCUUCAUGAAUUAAUGCAUGAGAUGUAUGUUAUCCCCUAUUGUAUUCACCCAGUCCAAGAUAUGUUGAAGCAUUUUUUAAAAAAUAUUGGACUAGGAUUAUUUUUCUUCCUUUAUUGAAUCAUGAUACCUGUCAAACUCAUAAGAAGAACUAGCAAUUGGGUUAGAGUACAGGGGGAUGUUGCAUUUGAACAAUCACUCCAACGUCUAUCUCAACCACCAUAUAGAGAACAACCAUACUCCCUAUAAGAUCAAGAUGGUGCACACAUCUAUAUUUGGGGAACAUAUCUAUAAUUUUGCCAAAAGUAGGGUCCACCAUAAUAUGGACAUGGAUCAACAAGAUAAGAUUGCCAACCACCAAACUCAUAUUCAUUUGAAGAUGCCACAAUAAUAAUUAAUUAGAAAUAAAAAUCUAUCCAACACAAUAAGGAAAAGAAAAUUACAAAAAAAUAUUUAUAAGUUUGAACAAAAGAAAGUAAGCUAAAAUUUCAAACUAACUCAAUACGCUAAAUUAUUCCCCAGUAACGAUGCCAUUUUUAAUAACGCUCAACUUACACGUCAAUUAAAGUGCAAGGCGGUCAUUGUCAAUGUGUUUAUACAACUAGAAGUAGGGGUUGAAUCCAUAAGGAACAAUGUGAAUGGUUAUUGCGUAAGUCCAAAAUAGUAGUUGCUUUCUAUGGUAAAAUCUAUGGUACAAAAUAGUUUAGGGGGUUUUCAAUAUUGUUGAAUAUAGAGACAAUUCUUGGGCUUCUAAGGGAAUAAUUCGAUACUAAUAAUAUUUAGACUAUAAUCAUAUAAAAUAGAUCUUAGGACUAUGCUUUCCUAGGGGAAAGUUAUGCAUGGGAUUAUGAUAAUUCGAUUCAAAUUCUAACCGCUGAUGAUAUGGUAGGCUAGGUCUAAAUUCCUUGAGAUUAGAUCUUCAACAAAACCUCUAAGAUGCCACUCAUUAACUCUUUCAAGUACCUAACGAGGGUGUCAAUUAAAGCCACCCAAUACCUUAAUUAGUCACCACUAUUUAAAGGAUGGUACCAAAGAAAUAUUCAACCUUAUAUUCACCCUUAUAUCUAUGAUGGUGAAAAAUAGCAAACUAAGCCUAAUAAUUAUCUACUAUUGCUUUGGGUCCCACAUCCCUCUUUCAAGGAUGAUGAGGUAUAAUAUCCUAUAUUUCUCAAGAUUAACUUAACCCUUAGUUCAUGAGUUAUCUAAUACACGGUAUUUUUUAGUUUAGAUUCUGCCAUUGCGUAGAAAAUUUAAUUAGCUUUCCAACAAUAUAAAAUUCACCUAAAUCCUAUAACCAGGUAAGAGUUAUGGCUAUUUCAAGUUUUAGUCAUUGAACACCAUCAUUCUGGCCAGUAGUACGUCGCGGAGUAUGACAAAAUGACAAUUGUCAGUUUCUAGUAUUGCUCUACGAUAUUGGCGCAUCGCGCCAACGUGCAUUUUCACUUUUGUCACUUUCUAGUGUAUUAACACGAUCCCACCGCAUCGCAAUGAGUCCAGAUUUUAUAUUAAGGAGAUGGGCAUAUCCAGGCUCAUGGUCCAUGCUCAGUAGAUAGAAGAGGCUAAUGUCAGAGAGAGAGAGGCAGAACAAAAGAUCUAGAAUAGGUAGCUUCAAUUUUAAUCCGCCUAAGUCAGAGGGCGGUAACCAUUCCCAGUUUUGUCCAAAGUCUUUGGUUCCAGCUCCGUCCUCAGUCAGUGCUCUAGUACCUAAGUUUAGAAAUAGUAAUAAUGAUAGGGCACCAGGCUCUAAGUCUCAGGGUAGUAUCAGUAGUGUUAGAACAAAUCCUCUAUGUCAGCAACAUGGCAAGAACCACAAGGGUGUCUGCAGAGCUGGCAGUGAUGUUUGUUUCAGGUAUGGAAAGCCUGGCCACAGAGUCAGAGAUUUUCCUUAGUCAGGUUCUCAGGGUCAGCAUACUCAUUCUUCAGCUCAUUCAGGUAACCCGAAUUAGCAAGGUGCCGCUUCCAGUGACACUAGUGGGCAACACCCAAAUAGGCUUUAUGCACUUUAGCCUAGACAAGAUUAGGAAAAUUAUCUUGAUGUGGUCACUGGUACAUUACAGAUCCUUCAUUUAUAUAUUUAUGCCUUGCUUGAUCCAGGAGCUUCUUUAUCUUCCAUAACUCCCUAUAUAGUCAUUAACUUCGGAUUCAGUCUAGAAAUCUUAGCAGAGCCUUUCUCGGUUUCUACCCCAGUGGGUAAAUCUAUCAUAGCCCGAUGGGUAUACAGGAACUAUCUGGUUAUGAUAUCUCAUGAAGUUACUUCAACAGACCUUGUAGAGCUAGAGAUGGCAGAUUUUGAUUUCAUUCUCAACAUAGAUUGGCUCCACUCAUGUUAUGCCUCAGUUGAUUGUAGAAACUAGUUCAUUUUCAGUUUCCAAAUGAACCAGUCCUUGAAUGGAGAGGUAGUACCACAGUGCUUAAGGUUCAGUUGAUUUCAUACCUUAGAGCAAGAAAUAUGAUAUCCAAGAGAUGUGUCUACCACCUUGUGCAAGUCAAAGACUCUAAUUCAGAAGCUCCAACUCUUGAGUUAGUUUCGGUAGUAAAUAAUUUCUCAGAUGAGUUUCCAAAAGAUCUUCCUAGAGUUCCUUCCUUUAGGGAAAUAGACUUCAGAAUAGACCUUCUCCCAGAUACUCAGCCCAUAUCGAUUCUGCCAUAUAGGAUGGAACCAGCAAAACUCAGAGAAUUAAAAGAAAAGUUGAAGUAUCUCCUAGAUAAGGGAUUCAUCAAACACAGCAAUUCCCCAUGGGGCACACCAGUUCUAUUCAUUCAUAAGAAAGACGGUUCUCUCAGAAUAUGUAUUGACUACCACUAGUUGAACAAAGUCCCAGUCAAGAAUACGUUUCCUCUUCUAAGAAUCGAUGAUUUGUUUGACCAACUUCAGGGAGCCAGUUACUUUUCUAAGAUAGACCUCAGAUCAGGCUAUCAUCAGCUUAGAGUCUGAGAAUGUGACAUUAUAAAAAUAGCUUUCCAAACCCGGUAUGGUCACUUCAAGUUUCUAGUCAUGUACUUUGGUCUUACCAAUGCCCCAGUAGCUUUUAUAGACUUAAUGAAUCACGUGUUCAAGCAGUACUUGGAUAUGUUUGUUAUAGUCUUCAUCGACGACAUUCUUGUUUAUUCCUGUAGUGAGAAUGAUCACACAUAUCACCUUAGAAUAGUACUUCAGACUAUCAAAACUCAUCAGCUAUUCGCUAAAUUCAAUAAGUUAAAAUUUUGGCUAAGGUCAGUAACGUUACUUGGUCAUAUUAUUUUCAGUGAUGGCAUUAGAGUUGAUCCUUAAAAGACCAAAGAAGUGAGAAACUGGCCUAGACCUAUCUCUCCAUCAGAUAUCAGGAGCUUCUUGGGUUUAGAGAGUUAUUACUGUCGAUUUGUUCAAGGGCUUUUGUCUAUUACAUCCUGUAAUAACCCGAAAUCACCCCUCGGGAUACUACUGGUGCCUAGGGUCAUAAGUGACCCCAAGCUAACCCUUCACUUGGCAUUACACAUAAAUAACUAAAUCAAAUGCAUAAAACCAAAAGAAUAAGGCGGAAUAUAACUCUAAUAUGAAUUUGCUCAAUACCAAAACUGGAGUCACAAGGUUACAAGUCAACAUUUUACAACAAAAUCAAAACCCAAUACAUCAACUUCUACCCACUAUCUAUGAAGCCUCUACUAGUACUGACCAUGGGUAGUUGAGUCAUAACUCCCAAGCACCCUGACUCAAUAUGACUGAAAAAGAAAAUACCACUCAUCUCAACUAUAUCACUGACUCGAGCCCUUGAAUCAAAAGGACUCGUCACCUGCCAACUGAAAGCUAUAAACUGAUUGAACAUGGUACAUAUGCUAUAAUUUGUACCUAUAUUAUAAGACAAUGUAGCACAUAGACGUAUAUAUGGAUCAGCACUUGGGAAUGUACUAAGUAUAUGGGGGUUAAUGCACAUGUAUAAAACAGUAACAACCUUCUUCAGUCAAAUCAUGGAUGCAAUAUGGGAUGACUCACAUAGCUUGAACAAGUAUCAAAUGUAAAUCUCAUAAAUCAUGUAGGAUGAGGCAUACAACACAAAUCUCGUGAGUCAUCAUUCAUACUCUUGCCAGGGAGUAUAACCUAGGUCUAGUGAUCACUAAAUGAAAUUCUGCCUUGGGCCCAAUCAUAAUCAUCAUAAUCUCAGCCUCAGGCCCAACUUACGUUGGCAUGUAGUUUUGGGGUAAGAAAUCGUAGUGACUUACCUGCUCAGUGCUAAAUACUACUCCCUUUAGAUUAUAUGCACUCAUCUCAUAAAAAUCCACUUUUAGAAUAAUCUCAUGGUUCACCACAAACCCAAUAAUCAAAUCAAUAAUCUCAUAUAGUGAAGUGAAUUUCAAAGCUCUCGGACCAUUAUGUCAAUUCAUUUUUCAAUCAUCUCAAAAUACUCAAAUCAUGAGUGCUUGUAGCACAAGAGUUCACAAAUUCACAAGUCCCAAAUAGGGCUUACUAAACCAUAGUUCAAUCUCAAGUUAAAGCUCAUCAAAAGCAUAAUAUAUAACAUAUAGAUUCAUAAAUUAGAUGGAAAUCUUGGAAUUUUAGAAAUUUAUCUCAAAAUCUCAAUAUACUCAUAUGCUUCAAUAUCUCAAACAUUGCAAAUAUUAGCUUUUUAAGAAGUAAAAUCAUAGGGUUUAUACCCAGCUAUAAAUUCUCAAUAAAACAUGCAAAAAUCAUGCCAUUUGACUCUUAAUUCAUGGGAAAUAUCAAGAUAAUGCAUUCAAUAAUAAUGGGUGAAAACCCCUAAUUCAAAUUCAUGUAAAACCUCAUAGAUUUUAGGAAAAUCAUGAUGUAAAUAAGCCUUUUGGCACAAGGGUGAAAGGGUUACCCUUGUACAAAACCCCACAUACCUUAGAUAUGACAUUGGAUGAAUAAGCUUUCUCUAAACUCUUCUUCUUAUCCUUGAAAAAAAGGGUUUUUGCCACACUUGACUUAGUGAGCUUGAAUCUCAACUCAAUUUGAAGAAUCCAUGGUGAGUUCUUAGAUCCCUUGGAGAAGAAUUUUGUUUUGAUUUGAUUUGGAGGAGAAAAACCUAGCUUAUUAGUACUAGAGAUGGGAAAACGAGGUAGCUGCUUUGUAUAGAAUAUAUAGGAGGGUUUAAAAGAGGGGAAAAGACCGAAAUAUCCCUUCAAAAAUAGGUUAAAAAUACUGAAUGGAGGCUGCGAUGAUCGAAUCGACGUUCUGUCAAAAGUUCGACGAUCCGUCGGAUCGUCCAUCGCAAGCUGGCCAAAAAAAAGGACAUACUUCCUCGCUGUAAUAGUCUCAAUGAUGGUCCAUCAAAUUUUGGUGGUCUACUAUUUUGGCCAUUGCACGAUGGCCAGAAUGAGGCCACACUGCCUCAGAGCGACGGUCAAAGUGAUGGUCCAUUGAAAAGUUGGUGGUCCAUCAUUUUGGCCAUUGUAUGAUGGCCAAAAAAAGGGGUCACUGCCUUGGUUUUGAUGGGACGAUUGACGGUCCGUCGCAGACUUGACAGCCCGUCAAACCUGGGUGAUUCCAAUAAUAUUCAGUAAAAUGACUAUAACUUCCUCGUUUGAUGUUAGAUUUUAACAAAAUUGGUAUCGUUGGAAAGAUAAAUCAUUGCUCUACAUUACAAAAAGUUGAUAUUAGGGAAAUUCCACAUAGUUGAAAAUAUUUCACACUUGGGAAGACACCUCUCAAACUUUUAAGGCUGGAUGACACUUUAGUCAACAUGCUCUAAGGCUCAAACUAUGAGGGAAUUUUGUUAGGUUUUACACAUCCCCCAUGUCUAUAUUGACUCAGAAAAAUUCUAAUUUUUGUGGUCAGAUUCCUGUGAGAAGAGUUUUUAGGAGUUAAAGACUCGACUCACAUCAACCCUAGUUUUGACUCUACCAGAUGGUUCAGAUGGGUUUGUUGUGUAUUGUAAUGCAUCUAGAGUAGGUUUGGAUUAUGUCCUCAUGCAUAGAGGUAAGGUCAUAGCCUAUGCCUCCAGACUGCUUAAGCCCCAUGAGAAGAAUUAUCCGACUCAUGAUCUUGAGCUAGCAGUUGUAGUGUUUUUCUUAAAGAUUUGAAAGCAUUACUUGUGUGGGGUACAUGUUGAUGUGUUCACAUAUCACAAAAUCCUUCAGUGUGUGUUUUCUCAGAAAGAUUAAAUUUGCAUCAGAGAAGAUGGUUAGAGUCAUUGAAAGACUAAGAUAUGAGUGUUUUGUGUCACCCAGGCAAGGCCAAUGUAGUGGCUGAUGCUCUCAGUAGACUGUCUAUAGGUUGUGUUGCUCAUGUGGAGGACAUUAAGAAGAAGUUAUCUUAGGAAGUCCAUCAGCUUGCCCGACUAGGUGACCGCUUAGUCGAUUCAGCAGAAAGUAAUGUGUGGGUUCAGAACAGUUCUGAAUUUUCUCUAGUUUCUGAGGAAAAGGAAAAUUAGGAUAGAGCUCCCACUCUUGUUAAGUUGAAAGAGUCGGUUAGAGAUAAAAAAAAUAGAGGUGUUCUCCCAAGGGGUAGAUAGUGUAUUACGUUGCUAGGGUCGGCUAUGUGCACCGGGCGUAGACGACUUGAGGCAAUGAAUUCUUGCAGAAACGUAUGGUGCAUGUUACUCUAUUCAUCCAGGGGACACUGAGAUGUAUCAUAAUUUAUGAGAGAUCUGUUGGUGAAGUAGGAUGAAGAGGGAUAUUGCAGAGUUUGUAGCUAAGUGCUCUAUAUGUUAGCAAGUUAAGAUUGAGCACCAGAAGCCUAGUGAGUCCAUAUAGGAGUUCUGUAUUCCCACGUGGAAGUGGGAAGAAGUGAACAUGGACUUUGUGAUGGGUUUUCCUCGUACUUAUCAUCAGCAUGAUUCUAUAUGGGUUAUCAUAGACAGGAUGACCAAAUCAGCUCAUUUGUUGCUAGUCCAUAUUUCCUAUUUGACCGAGGACUACACCAAACUCUAUAUUAGAGAAUUGGUCAACUUACACAGAGUUCCAGUAUCCAUUAUCUUAGAUAGAGGUACCCAGUUCACCUCUUAUUUCUGGAAAGCAUUCCAAAAGGGUCUUGGUAUCCAAGUUCACCUUAGUAUAGCCUUCUACCCUCAGACACAUGUUCAAGAAGAAAGGAUCGCUCAGACUCUAGAAGAUAUGGUAAGAGCCUGUAUUGUCGAUUUUAUGGGUAGUUGGGAUGACCACUUUUCUUUGAUCGAAUUCGCAUAUAAUAACAACUAUCAUUCCAGUAUUCAUAUGUCUCUAUUUUAGGCUCUCUAUGGUAGGAGAUACAGAUCUCUACUUGGUUGGUUCGAGGUAGGAAAGGCUGUAGUAGUAGGGCCUGAUCUAGUAUUUGAUGCCUUAGAGAAGGUUCAGUUAAUCAGAUAAAGACUUAGGGUUGCCCAAAGCUGAUUGAAAUCAUACGCAGAUGUGCGGAGAAAUGAUCUUGAGUUUGAGAUGAGUGAUUUUGUGUUCUUAAAAAUCUCUCCCAUGAAGAGGGUAACGAGGUUUGGUAUGAUGUGAAAGCUUGGUCCCUGAAAUGUCAGUCCUUACAGAAUUCUCAGCUGUUUUGGAAAGGUAGCUUAUAAGCUUGAGUUGCCUUCAUAUCUAGCCUCAGUGUAUCCAGUAUUCCACGUCUCCUUGAUAAAGAAAUGCAUUGGUGACCCAACAGUCGUAGUUCCUUUAGAGGAUGUAAAUAUUCAGAAUGAUCUUUCUUUCGAAGAGGUUCCAGUCCAAAUCCUCGAUCAUCAAAUUCCCAGACUAAGGAAUAAAGAAGUUCCCUUAGUCAAAGUUCUUUAGAGAAAUCAGUCCAUUGAGGGAGCUUCUUGGGAAGCAAAAGCAGAUAUGCGGACCAAGUAUUCUCACCUCUUCUUCACAAACUCAAAUCCAGCUUAAGGUAACAGUAUUCCUUAGCUUUACUUAGUUCCUUGUUCAGAUAUAAUUAUAAACUUGGUAUUCAUUAUUGUUGCAUAUUUAGUCAUGCAUUCAUGAAUCAGCUCAAUCAUGUACUCAUGCAUCACAUAUGCAUGUUCAGUAUGAAAACCCAGCUUAUCAGUAGCUUUAGUCAUGUAUACCAUUCAUCAGAUAUGCAUGUUCAGUGUGAAAGCUUGGUUUGUAAGUAGUUUAAUCAUGUAGUCAUGCAUCAGAUAUACAUGUUCAGGGUGUAAACUUAGUCUAUCAGUGUUUCAGCUUAAUCAGUUCAUUCGAGGAUGAAUGUUCCCAAGGGAGAGAUAUUACAAUACCCCAUAUUUCUCAAGCUUAACUUAAACCUUAGUUAAAGAGUUAUCUAAUAUAAAAUUUUUGAAAUAAUCAUUAUUUUUCAGUUUAGAGACUUCCAUUGUGUAGGAAAUUGAAUUAGCUUUCCAAUAAUAUAAAAUUUGCCUAAAUCCGAUAACAGAUAAGAAGUUAAGGCUAUUUUAAGUUUUAGCUGUUAAACACCGUCAUUCAGGUAAGUAGCACGUCACAGAGUAUAUCAAAAUGACAAAGGUCAAUUUCCAAUGUUGCUCUACGAUAUUGGUGCAUCGCGCCAAGGCUCAUUUUUACGUUUGACAGUUUUCAGUACAUCAACGUGAUCCCACCACGUCGCGAUGAGUCCAUAUUUCAAAACCAAAAGGGUGUUGUGAUCCCAUCUCAUCGCGCCAAGCCCUUAGUUCCCAGUUGUCAUUUUCCAAAGAAAAGACACGAUAGCGCCGCGUCGUUCCAGGGGUCCAGGUCGGGAAAAUUUCUCGAAAAUUAAAAAUGACGUACAUAGAUAAAUUGGUAUUUUCCCAUGAUUUUUUCAUGGAUAGAUACGGGAUUUAAUCUCUAAAUACAUUUUAAAGGUCAUUCUUAAUAGAUUUUCCCCCAAAUUAAAAGCAUUCUCUCUCAAGAAAAUAAACCCUAGCUCUAAGAAAUCAAGAUCAAUCUCAAAAAUUUAUCCAAGAAUCUUCAAGAACAAAUAUUCCAAGGAAUGUUAGGUAUUCAUCUAUGGGUCCCUUUCACCCAUAGAGUCAAUGAAUCCACUUCUAAAACUUCAAGAUCUGCUGUUCAGGAUUUACAUGCUUAAAAUUUGAUUGUAUUUGUGUUCUUGAUAUUAAAUGAGUUCCAAUUAAUGAUUAAUUGUAGAUUCCAUGAAGUUUGAAUAGCAUGUAAAUUGAAUUGUGAAAUUCCCAUGUCAUAAUCUAUGAAUUUGUAAGUUAGGGCAUUGUAAUUUGCUUGCUUAUGUUUUAACCAUGAUUAUAUGCAUUAAGUUGUGCUCUCUAGGUUUUUGAUAGAAUUUCCAUGUGAAUGAAUUAAUGAAAUCAUGGCAUGUUAGUAUAUGUAUAAGCUUAUGCCCUACAAGUGUUUGAGAAAAUGUCUCUAUGAAUGAUUAUGAUUUUCAAGAGUAUAUUAUGAUUUAUUUUUCAUGCUAUCGAGUCCUGGGGGUAUUUAAUACACAACAAUUUAGCUGUGUGCCUAGAACCAGUGUCAGUUAUAGAACCUCAGUCAUGUCACGAUUCAUAGUACUCUCAUAUAGUUACAAAACUCAGUAGAACUCAAUCAGUUACAGAACUCAAGAAAAUUCAGUAAACUCACUAUCAGUUCAAUACAAUCAGUUCAGUGUCUUUUAGUUGGGAGUAGGAUUCAGCACCAAGUGAGCCCAAGGAUGGGGACUAGCCUUCCAGUAGAGGGUGCGAUCUCUAGAAGCAAUUCUUGCAUUCCAGAACUACGUAGCCAGCGUAGGUUGAGACAUCAAACCUACCAAAUUAAGGGUUGAUGAGGUGUUUAACCUAAAAGAUGAGGGUUCCACCAUUCUCAUUAGAGUACCUACUAAAUGAGGGUAACUCUUUAGUGUCCUUACCCAUUGUACUGUACUAACACCCUUCCACCUGGGGUCACAGUUUGGACCACCCUAACUUAGUUAUUUUAUCUUAUUAGGGGCAUGUCGGUUAGAUGAUUAUCUCCUACAGUCUUAGUUUGAGUCUUCAGAAUAGAACUCAUUUUAAUUUUACAGAAUCAGGACUGUCAGAUAUAGUUAACCAGUAUCAGUAAAUCAGUUAUCAAUAAUUUCAGAUAUCAGUUACUCAGUAUCAAAAUUUAGGACUUAGAUUUAGAUAAUCUUAGUCACAGUAUUUAUCUAUAUGCAUAUUAGUGAACACUCAUUAUUUACAGUAGUAUCAGUUAUCCAUGUACUCUCAUGUUCAGUUACUCUAUAUCAUGCAGUCAAUUAUUGUUCAGGCAUAUGAACCCUUGCAUUUAGUCUUACCCCAUCUAGCAUGCCAGUACAUUCCACGUACUGACAUAUACUCUAUCUUUGUGUUAUGAUGUCUUAUAUCAUAGGUUCGGAUGCUCAAGUUCCCAAGCGCGCAUAGAUAGAUUCAGAUUCAGCCAACAGUAGUAGAUUAGAAGUGAGCCCUCAUCAUUCAAGGAUAUUCUUUUAUUUCAUUAUUUUAGUAGACUCAAUAUUUUAGUAUAUGGAGUUAGUUGGGGGAUUGUCCCAUCAACUCCAGAUUCAGAUAGUUCAGUUUAGAGGCUUUUCAAACUAGUUUUCAGAUAGUAUUCAUUUUUACAAUUUUUUAUUACAGUUUGAUAUUUCAGUAGUAUUUCAAAUAUUUGAACCUUAUGGCAUUUUAGCCUA
rnacentral:lncRNA from 1 species